AUGCAAUCUUAUGAUGAAAAACUUAACUUGGAAGUUUCUAUACCUAGAAAACUUUAUGAUGAGUGGGAACCUACUACAAAGAUUAAAAUUAAAGAUCAUGAGUGUUAUGCUUUGUGUGAUUUGGGUGCUAGUGUUUCCACGAUUCCGAAAAUUUUAUGUAAUAUUCUAGAUUUCCAUGAUCUUGAUGAUUGCUCUUUAAAUUUGCACCUUGCGGAUUCUACCAUUAAGAAGCCUAUGGGAAGAAUCAAUGAUGUUCUUAUUGUUGUAAAUAGGAAUUAUGUGCCCAUAGAUUUUAUCGUUCUUGAUAUAGAUUGCAAUCUUUCUUGUCCUAUUAUUCUUGGUAGACCUUUCCUUAGAACAAUUGGUGCGAUUAUUGAUAUGAAGGAAGGGAAUAUUAGAUUCCAAUUUCCAUUAAGUAAAGGCAUGGAGCACUUUCCAAGAAAUAAAGUUAAAUUACCUUAUGAAUCUAUCAUGCGAGCUACUUAUGAAUUGAGUGCCAAAGAUGGCACUACUUAG
rnacentral:rRNA from 1 species